UAAAAUGGCUGAUAAAAGCAUUAGACUGUAAAUCUAAAGAUAGGGGUUUAAGUCCUCUUUUUGCCA
rnacentral:tRNA from 1 species